rnacentral:rRNA from 1 species
AGUGAACGCUGGCGGUAGGCCUAACACAUGCAAGUCGAACGGCAGCACAGUAAGAGCUUGCUCUUACGGGUGGCGAGUGGCGGACGGGUGAGGAAUACAUCGGAAUCUACUUUUUCGUGGGGGAUAACGUAGGGAAACUUACGCUAAUACCGCAUACGACCUACGGGUGAAAGCAGGGGAUCUUCGGACCUUGCGCGAUUGAAUGCGCCGAUGUCGGAUUAGAUAGUUGGCGGGGUAAAGGCCCACCCAGGCGACGAUCCGUAGCUGGUCUGAGAGGAGGAUCAGCCACACUGGAACUGAGACACGGUCCAUGCUCCUACGGGAGGCAGCAGUGGGGAAUAGUGGACAAUGGUCGCAAGCCUGGUCCAGCCAUACCGCGUGGGUGAAGAAGGCCUUCGGGUUGUAAAGCCCUUUUGUUGGUAAAGAAAAGCAGCAGGUUGAUACCCCGCUGUUCUGACGGUACCCAAAGAAUAAGCACCGGCUAACUUCGUG